rnacentral:rRNA from 1 species
AGUCGAACGAUGAACCACCUUCGGGUGGGGAUUAGUGGCGAACGGGUGAGUAACACGUGGGCAAUCUGCCCUUCACUCUGGGACAAGCCCUGGAAACGGGGUCUAAUACCGGAUACUGACCUGCCAAGGCAUCUUGGCGGGUCGAAAGCUCCGGCGGUGAAGGAUGAGCCCGCGGCCUAUCAGCUUGUUGGUGAGGUAAUGGCUCACCAAGGCGACGACGGGUAGCCGGCCUGAGAGGGCGACCGGCCACACUGGGACUGAGACACGGCCCAGACUCCUACGGGAGGCAGCAGUGGGGAAUAUUGCACAAUGGGCGAAAGCCUGAUGCAGCGACGCCGCGUGAGGGAUGACGGCCUUCGGGUUGUAAACCUCUUUCAGCAGGGAAGAAGCGAAAGUGACGGUACCUGCAGAAGAAGCGCCGGCUAACUACGUGCCAGCAGCCGCGGUAAUACGUAGGGCGCAAGCGUUGUCCGGAAUUAUUGGGCGUAAAGAGCUCGUAGGCGGCUUGUCACGUCGGUUGUGAAAGCCCGGGGCUUAACCCCGGGUCUGCAGUCGAUACGGGCAGGCUAGAGUUCGGUAGGGGAGAUCGGAAUUCCUGGUGUAGCGGUGAAA